rnacentral:rRNA from 1 species
GAUGAACGCUAGCUACAGGCUUAACACAUGCAAGUCGAGGGGCAGCAGGGAUUUAGCUUGCUAAAUCCGCUGGCGACCGGCGCACGGGUGCGUAACGCGUAUCCAACUUUCCCGUUACUCAGGGAUAGCCUUCCGAAAGGGCGAUUAAUACCUGAUGGUGUUUGAAAUUUGCAUGUUCUUCAAACUAAAGAUUUAUCGGUAACGGAUAGGGAUGCGUGACAUUAGAUAGUAGGAGGGGUAAAGGCCCACCUAGUCUACGAUGUCUAGGGGUUCUGAGAGGAAGGUCCCCCACACUGGAACUGAGACACGGUCCAGACUCCUACGGGAGGCAGCAGUGAGGAAUAUUGGUCAAUGGUCGGAAGACUGAACCAGCCAAGUAGCGUGAAGGAUGAAGGUUCUAUGGAUUGUAAACUUCUUUUAUACGGGAAUAAAACAUCCCACGUGUGGGAUCUUGUAUGUACCGUAUGAAUAAGCAUCGUCUAACUCCGUGCCAGCAGCCGCCGUAACAC